rnacentral:ncRNA from 1 species
ACCGAUAAAGGCACACCCGAGGUAACUCGGGGCCGCAAAGCCACUUAUCCCAUUAGAUAUAACUAUCUAACGGGACAGAAGGGUUACCGAAG